CUGUCCAUUGCUGUUGUCCACUACUGUUGUCCACCACUGUUCAUCACUGUCCACUACUGUAGCAGACAGUGCUGGUUGUCGCUGUGUGCUGGACUCUGUGGGAUGGUGAUUGAUGGUCACUGUGUGACGACCACUGUGUGAUGGCUACUAUGCAAUGGUCACUCUGUGAUGGACGCUGUAUGAUGGUCACUGUGUGAUGAACUCAAUGCGAUGGUCACUGUGUGAUGACCACUUUUUGAUGGCCACUGUGCAAUGGCCACUGUUGAUGGUCACUCUGUGAUGGACGUUGUGUGAUAGUCACUGUGUGAUGGUCACUGUGUGAUGGUCACUGUGGGAUAGACAUUUUGUGAUAGACACUGUGUAAUCGUCACUUUGUGAUUGCCACCGUGUGAUGGACGCUGUGUGAUGGACACUGUUCGAUGAUCACUAAAUGAUUGUCACUGUGACAUGGUCACUGUAUGAUGGUCACUGUGUGAUGGAUGCUGGAUGACAGUCACUCUGUAAUGGCCACUCUGUGAUGGUUACUGUGUGAUGACCACUGUGUGAGGCCACUGUUUGAUAACCACUGUGUGAUGGUCACUAUAUGAUGGCCACUGUGUGGUGGCCACUUUGUGAUGGUCACUGUAUGAUGCUGACUGUGUGAUGGACAAUGUGCGAUCCUGACUGUGUAGUGGUCACUGUGUGAUGGUCAUUGUGUAAUGGUCCCUGUGUGAUUGUCACUGUGCGAUGGACACUGUAUGAUGAUCACUCCGUGAUGACCACCUGUGAUGGCCACUGUGUGAUGGCCACUGUGUGAUGGCCACUCUGCAAUGAUCACUGGGUCGUGGUCACUGUGUGAUGGACACUGUGUGACUGUCACUCUGUGAUGGCCACUGUGUGAUGGUCACUGUGUGAUGGCCACUGUGUGAUGGUCACUGUGUGUUGUUGCUGUUGUUGCCCUUCCUACUCAAAUGGUGUUCUAGUACUUGAAAGCCCAGAACCGCACAGCUCUGAGAGAAGGUAUAUCAAUGGAAGGCUAUCCUGCCUGACACGGGCAAGGGACCCAGGAACCACACAGGUCUUAGAGAAUCCUCCUCAGCAGAGACUUUGCGGCUCCCAGAGGAGAAUAAGCCCAGCUGAACUAUGGACUCAGGAGCCUCAGCCCUGCUCCUCUUCUUCCUUCUUCCCUUCUUUUCAUUGCCUCUUGGCUUCUUCCAAUGAGGGAGUCACACUAGGCAGCAAAUCUCCUAACAGAUUUAUUGGGAGGGUUUAGGGUAUGGAAGGAUGAAUCCAGAAAUGGUGCCUCUGCUCCAGGGAGCAGACAGCAGGGAACUGAGCAGACACUGCCUUUAUAUAGGAUCCCUUAGUGGUUGGAGCUUUCUAGGGGUAGAGAUUUCAGGGUGAGAAUUGGUGGGAGUUCAAGUCCUGAGCUUGGGGGUGCUCAGGGAUUUGGUGGGUUUUUCUGUUCAGGCUUUUCAUCUAAAAUUAGCAUAAUCCAGAGAGGGUCCUGUUGAGGUGCUAGAGAUGACAUUUGUGACAGUUACAGAGGCUAGAACUGUCUGUUAUGACUGUUAGGGAAGUCUGGGGGGGGGGGGAAUGGGUGCUGUGGCUUCUCAGGUGAUGGUCUGGCCACUUUCCAGCCUUGAGAGUUUACAAAGUGUGCAAAGUUUACAAAGGAGCCCAUGGCAGGGAAAGCCUUUCUUGCCACCACUGCAGCGUCCGGUGUGGAGUCUAUUUACCCUGGACAGUGAUGAUCUGAGCCACUCAUUGGAGAUCCUGAAUGAACUUCAAGGGAAACCGAGAAGUGGUCAGUCCUGUUGUGCCAGCGGAAGCACCAGCAGUUACACCCAGAAUUGCAAGGAAAUACAGGCUCCGAGCUGCUCGUUUGUUAUGCCUUGCUGCUACAAACCCUGUGAUGGAACUGGCAAAUGUCCCUCACCAGGAUACCAGCAGCUCAGUCCAACAGCAAACACUGGAUCCAAGUCAGAAGCAGCAGUUUGAGCCAGCGGAAGUGGGAAGAGUCAGCUGGAAUAACACGAGAAAUUUCUCCGGCGUGUUUCUCUCUAUGAAGUGAAGACCAUCAAAGCGUUGCAAAGCACAGCAAUGCAAGAGCAUUCUCUCCCUGUUUAUGGAGUUCCAUUUGCACUCUUUCUAAACGUCAUGCGCCCUCUCAAGGAUCUGUUCCAGCAAAACAUCGCGCACCCUUUCACGUGUCUGCUUCAGCAAAACGCCCUCUCAUGUGUCUGUUUCAGCAAAACACCAUAUGCCCUCUCACAAAACAGCGUCCACGAAAACAUCACAUGAUACAACUAAGUCUCCAAAGAAACUAGAAAUGUCCACUUCAAGGCCCCUUCCUAGCAAGGAGAAGGACGGGUUGGUCCCACUACGGAGGAAUGGUUCAAGAUGUGGACCGUCAGCUUCUGCUUCAGCCACCAGGCCUACUGCACACUGCCAGGCUUCCUCGACACGACGAACUCUGGAUCCACAAGUCCAAAUAAAGCCUUCUAUAAGUUG
rnacentral:sRNA from 1 species